rnacentral:rRNA from 1 species
AGUGAACGCUGGCGGUAUGCCUAACACAUGCAAGUCGAACGGCAGCACAGGAUGAGCUUUCUCUUACGGGUGGCGAGUGGCGGACGGGUGAGGAAUACAUCAGAAUCUACUUAUUCGUGGGUGAUAUCGGAGGAACAGUUACACUAAUACCGCAUACGACCUACCGGUUAAAGCAAGGGAUCUUCGGGCCUUGCGCGAUUGAAAGAGCCCGCGCCGGAUCAGCUAGGUGGCAGGGUAACGGCUUACCAAGGCGACGAUGCGUAGCCGACCUGAGAGGGUGAUCGGCCACACUGGAACUGAGACACGGUCCAGACUCCUACGGGAGGCAGCAGUAGGGAAUCUUCCGCAAUGGGCGAAAGCCUGACGGAGCAACGCCGCGUGAGUGAUGAAGGUCUUCGGAUCGUAAAACUCUGUUAUUAGGGAAGAACAAAUGUGUAAGUAACUAUGCACGUCUUGACGGUACCUAAUCAGAAAGCCACGGCUAACUACGUG